rnacentral:rRNA from 1 species
ACGCUCGACACCUACGGGAGGCGGCAGUAGGGAAUCUUCCACAAUGGACGCAAGUCUGAUGGAGCAACGCCGCGUGAGUGAAGAAGGUUUUCGGAUCGUAAAGCUCUGUUGUUGGUGAAGAAGGAUAGAGGUAGUAACUGGCCUUUAUUUGACGGUAAUCAACCAGAAAGUCACGGCUAACUACGUGCCAGCAGCCACGGUAAUCUGAGCGGGCUGGCAAGGC